AUUGAACGCUGGCGGUAUGCUUUACACAUGCAAGUCGAACGGCAGCACGGACUUCGGUCUGGUGGCGAGUGGCGAACGGGUGAGUAAUGUAUCGGAACGUGCCCAGUCGUGGGGGAUAACGUAGUGAAAAUUACGCUAAUACCGCAUACGAUCUAUGGAUGAAAGCGGGGGAUCGCAAGACCUCGCGCGAUUGGAGCGGCCGAUAUCAGAUUAGGUAGUUGGUGGGGUAAAGGCCCACCAAGCCAACGAUCUGUAGCUGGUCUGAGAGGACGACCAGCCACACUGGAACUGAGACACGGUCCAGACUCCUACGGGAGGCAGCAGUGGGGAAUUUUGGACAAUGGGCGAAAGCCUGAUCCAGCCAUUCCGCGUGCAGGAUGAAGGCCCUCGGGUUGUAGACUGCUUUUGUACAGAACGAAAAGGUUUCUACUAAUACUAGGAGCUCAUGACGGUACUGUAAGAAUAAGCACCGGCUAACUACGUGCCAGCAGCCGCGGUAA
rnacentral:rRNA from 1 species